rnacentral:rRNA from 1 species
AGUCGAGCGGAAAGGCCCCUUCGGGGGUACUCGAGCGGCGAACGGGUGAGUAACACGUGAGCAACCUGCCCCUGACUCUGGGAUAAGCCCGGGAAACUGGGUCUAAUACCGGAUAUGACCACUCCAGGCAUCUGGUGGUGGUGGAAAGUUUUUCGGUUGGGGAUGGGCUCGCGGCCUAUCAGCUUGUUGGUGGGGUGAUGGCCUACCAAGGCGACGACGGGUAACCGGCCUGAGAGGGCGACCGGUCACACUGGGACUGAGACACGGCCCAGACUCCUACGGGAGGCAGCAGUGGGGAAUAUUGCACAAUGGGCGAAAGCCUGAUGCAGCGACGCCGCGUGAGGGAUGACGGCCUUCGGGUUGUAAACCUCUUUCAGCAGGGAAGAAGCGAAAGUGACGGUACCUGCAGAAGAAGCGCCGGCUAACUACGUGCCAGCAGCCGCGGUAAUACGUAGGGCGCAAGCGUUGUCCGGAAUUAUUGGGCGUAAAGAGCUCGUAGGCGGCUUGUCACGUCGGGUGUGAAAGCCCGGGGCUUAACCCCGGGUCUGCAU